rnacentral:lncRNA from 1 species
CCGAGCCCUGCCCCGCGGGGAGGCAGCUAAGGCCUGGCGAGAUAUCCAGCGCAGCGUCGGUGGGCCGGCACUGCUGGGGGACCCAGCACGCCCUCUGCAGCCGCUGGCCAGGGUGCUAAGCCCCUCAUUGUCUGGGCCGGCAGGGCCGGUCAGCUGCUCCUAGUGCGGGGCCCGCCAAGCCCACACCCACCCGGAACUCGUGCUGGCCGGCAAGCACCGCGCGCAGCCAGGGUUCCCGGCCGCGCCUCUCCCUCCACACUUCUCCGCAAGCUGAGGGAGCCGGCUCCGGCCUUGGCCAGCCCAGAAAGUGGCUCCCACAGUGCAGUGGUGGGCUGAAGCGUUCCUCAAGUGCCACCAAAGUGGGAGCCCAGGCAGAGGAGGCGCCGAGAGCGAACAAGGGCUGUGAGGACUGCCAGCACGCUGUCACUUCUCAGAGGUACUGUCACUGACACACCGUGGGAUAAGAUGACUAUCACCAGAAAAUUAAUGAUGGCUUUUUAAACAUUAGAAGAUUGGCAAUAAUGUCACACUGAUUUUAUUCUGGCCGUGCUGGCAGCUGAUUAGAUUGUGGCCACCCAGAUUGAAGGUGGGUCUGCAUUUUCCAGUCCACUGACUCAAAUUUUAGUCUCCUUUGGCAACACUUUCACAGACACACCCAGGAACAAUACUUUGUAUCCUUCAAUCCAAUCAAGUUGACGCUCAAUAUUAACCACCACACUGAAGGUCUCAUCAGACAUCUUGGUUAAGCAGCUUCUUAUUAAAGAUUUAUUUGAAUCUUGGGACAUGCUUUGAACAACAAAGACAAGAUUAUCACAAUUACAGCAGCUGUACAGAUACCACUAUUUGGUGGAGCCAUGAUUGAAUUGAUCAAACGGUAUUUAUCUUCUUGACUCCCUCUUUGAUUGGCUACGGAAGAGGGACUUACCAUGAAGAAGGAAUUUCGCCUACCACGGCAAGCUUCUGGCUCUGUGAAUUCAA